UGCAACUCGACUACAUGAAGCUGGAAUCGCUAGUAAUCGCGAAUCAGCAUGUCGCGGUGAAUACGUUCCCGGGUCUUGUACACACCGCCCGUCACACCAUGAGAGUUGGCAAUACCCAACGUACGUGAUCUAACCCGCAAGGGAGGAANCGUCCUAAGGUAGGGUCAGCGAUUGGGUGAAGUCGUAACAAGGUAAC
rnacentral:rRNA from 1 species